AUGCACUGGCAGUCACUGAACUUGCGAAGAGGGCUCAUUUUGGUCACUGUACUUAGAAAUACGGCCAAUAUGGUCACCCAAUACAACAAGACGUGUUUGUACGGUCACUGUUGCUUGUUAUGUCAUGCAGAGGCCUGUGCCAAGAGUGAUUGCACAAGGACCUGUUCCAGAGUCAACAUUCCUUUCUGCUGCUCAGUUAUUGGUCAAUCAAAACCAAGGGAGCACAAGCACCAUUCAGCAAGGAGAGAUGGCCAAGAACUUACUUGCAUUAAAAAGCAGAGAGACAAAGAGUUAGAAGACAAGAAAAAUGCUAUACUUGCAGCAAGGAGAGAAGAACAGGAAAAGAAGGCUGAAGAAGCUGCCAGGAAGAGACAUCUUCAAGAGGAGAAGAAAACAGCAGAGGCAGAGAGGAAGAGACAGGCAGCUGCUCUGAACAGAGAGAAGAGGAAAGAAGAAGCAGCAAUAAAAAAGCAGGCUCAAGCAGAGACAAGGCAGAUUCUUUUGGAGGUUAAGAAAACUAUAGCUGCUGAGAACAAAGCAAAGAAGGAGGCUGAGAAGAAGGCUCAAAAAGAACAAGAAGCUGCCAAGAAGCUAGCAGAGAAAGAGGCUGCUGCAACAAAAAGAAGAGCAGAUAAGAAAGCAGAGAAGGAGGCUACCGCAACACAAAGAAAGGAAGAAAUGAGGCUGAUAUCUAUUGCAAUGGGUAAAAGCCAGGAUGAUUCACAGAACCAAGAAGAUGGUCAGCCAAGGAAGGCCAGCAGAACAUCCAUGUUUGAUAUCUUUAGGUGA
rnacentral:rRNA from 1 species